UACAGAGGUCUCAAGCGUUGUUCGGAUUCAUUGGGCGUAAAGGGUGUGUAGGUGGCGCUGUAAGUCGGGUGUGAAAUUUCGGAGCGUUAACUCCGAAACUGGCAUUCGAUACUGCGGUGCUUGAGGACUGGGAGAGGAGACUGGAAUUCAUGGUGUAGCAGUGAAAUGCGUAGAGAUCAUGAGGAAGACCAGUGGCGAAAGGCGGGUCUCUGGACAGUUCCUGACACUGAGACACGAAGGCCAGGGGAGCAAACGGGG
rnacentral:rRNA from 1 species